CAUGCCGAAGCAGGGAUCGAAACACUGUCUCGGAACACUUCCGCUUCAAACGCUCGGCACUGUGUCAAGCAAAGUGGCUCGAGCAUAACAUCACUAGUUUAACCGCAGUCCCCAAAAGUGUGGCAGCAUUUCACGCUUCACAAAACAAAAAACAUGCGUAACAUGCAAGCUUUACAAAAGUGACAUGAUGUACGGGAGCACCACGAUGAUGAUGCAGCACCUGAAACGGAAACACGUUGGAGUCUCUGAUGAGGAUGAAGGAGCUCAACAGCAGCAAACAAUGACAGGCUUCAUGAUGAGAAAGACAUCAUGUCCACCACAGCAAGCAUCUGUCCUGACUGAGAGCAUCCUCAGCAUGAUGGUCACUGACAUGAGGCCUCUGUCGACGGUUGAAGACAAAGGCUUCGCUACAAUGAUCUUAUUUGCUCUGUUUCCCAGAGACUAUGGGUUGAGGAGGAAUUGGAAGUUUGUCGGCUUAGACCUGGUCUCAUUCCAUCAGUGUUAAACUUCCUGGCUCAUCUUGGAAGAGUACGUGCCAGAAAGACCAUGACCAAGCAGCCUUGAGAUCUUAGGCAGCGUCUCCCUGAGGUCCCUCUCUAUCUCCCCACACAUCCACCAACCACUGGAACACAUCUCCAAAGUUCUGCUGGACCAGCUCAGCUUCCCCUCAGAAGAAGUGCCACCACCUGCCAGAUGAAGGAGCCUUUUGAGAGGCAGCUGGCAUCGUGAUUGGACUGUACUUUGGUCUGUUCCAAUCCAGCUUCAGCUCCAGAGACGGCAGGCGGGACGAGUCAACGGAGGCCUGGUGGACGAAGGCAUGCAGCUGAGUACAAUCCAGAAAACAACAGAGGAGGAGUGCAGCAGCCCAGAGCCAGAACAACCAGAGUAGCAUCAUAUGUCUCUUAGAAAACAUCAUAGUAUAGCCUUUGGUAUGAAAAAACGCCAUCAUAUACAUCGUAUAUUGUACAAAUAACAAGUCAAAGGAAAGAGACAUACAUUGUAGAAUUGUAGUAAUUGUGGGCUGACUGAUUUACUGAUUAUCAGUAUUUUAUUUUUACUGAUUUAUGGUAAUAAAUACAUUUAAAAAUGG